rnacentral:rRNA from 1 species
GACGAACGCUGGCGGCGUGCUUAACACAUGCAAGUCGAGCGGUAAGGCCCUUUCGGGGGUACACGAGCGGCGAACGGGUGAGUAACACGUGGGCAACCUGCCCUGUAGAUUGGGAUAACUCCGGGAAACCGGGGCUAAUACCGAAUAAUCCAUUUCCUCUCAUGGGGAAAUGUUAAAAGCGGUUUCGGCUGUCACUACAGGAUGGGGCCCGCGGCGCAUUAGCUAGUUGGUGAGGUAACGGCUCACCAAGGCGACGAUGCGUAGCCGACCUGAGAGGUGAUCGGCCACACUGGGACUGAGACACGGCCCAGACUCCUACGGGAGGCAGCAGUAGGGAAUCUUCCACAAUGGACGAAAGUCUGAUGGAGCAAUGCCGCGUGAGUGAAGAAGG